UCCAAAACUUGGAAGCCAUAGAAAAGGAAAUAGAGGAUCAUAUAAUUUGUUAUCUGCAUUGAGAAACCUGAAGAGGACUCUGUUAACUUUAGAGGUAACUCUGUACUAUCCCUGGCAACUGGGACUAGGAUGGUCCUACAUGGUGGCAUCAUAACCAUCACUUGGAAUGAUCUCUACCAAUGUCUCUUUCCAUCCCCUGGAAAGUCAAGUGUUCUCUCUAAGCAGCUUUCUACAGCAAAGCCUAUGUGGGCACACAAUGCAAUUACCUUGAGUCUGGAGGCCAACUUGAAGGAUUUUUUACUUGAUAUAUCACUUGGACAUCUGUAAUGGGGGAGAAAAAAAUGUCAGAGGGAUAUUUCAGAAAAGGAAUUGAAUUGCUGUAACACUUCUCAAAGAGAAAACUAUGGAUAUGUUUUCCUGAAUGCAGAGGUGCGACUUUUUCGUAUUAGAAUUCCUGUGCUGCCUUCCAUCCCUAAUACUCAAUGGCAUAGAGAAAAUAAUGAAAGGAAGGCAAGUACCAUUUGCCAAAGAUGUGGCCAAGAUAACGCUGCUGUCACCAUGAAAGCUUUGUGUUAUCUACACGAUGUAAAAUUAUUUCCGAUUACCAUAGAAUAGAAGGGAAUGAAAAUAACGGCCAGCCUUCUCAUAAGUGCUUGUCCGUCAUCUCCAUGCUGCAGCAGGAUGAAUAUGGGGCCUGGCAGGCCUUAGCUUUCUUUGGAGAAUAUUAACUAUAGGCACCAAUGGAGCACAUUGAGAAGCAAUUUCUCUCCCGGAAGCACCAAAGCCUUUUAAGUAGUUCAGGCUUCACUGUUGACGUCCAGUUGCCAAAAAGCAAAUGAAUUGCCUGAUUUAAAAGACAUUUGUUUCCUUAUUUUUUUUGGCAGUCAGGAUGAUCCUCUUGUUUUCCCCAUAAUCAGGCCCCACAGAACUACAUGCCUAUGCACUAACAAUUUAAAAUAAACAAAGCGUGGUUUUUCAGGUGACCGCUUUGCCUCAAUUUGCUUGCACGCUGUCCCAAGGGUGCCUACGGAGCUGGCUGCACUUCAGAAUGUCAGUGUGUGGAGAAGAAUACCCUGGAAUGCAGUGCCAAAAAUGGUAGUUGCACCUGCAAAUCUGGUUACCAAGGCAACAGAUGCCAGAAAGUCUGCCCAGAUGGCCUCUGGGGACCAGAGUGCUGGUUCUCCUCUGCACCCUGUGAAAAUGGAGGUCAGUGCAACAACAACAACAACAAAAAACUGGAAAUUGUGACUGCACUCCUGGUUACACAGGAAAUUCCUGUACCAUAUGAUACCCAAAAGGCACGUAUAGUCCAUAUUGCCAAAAGAUGUGUAAGUGCCUGAAUCGUGGCAUCUGUGACACCAUGAUUGGCACCUGUAUCUGCCCUCCUAGCUUCACUGGGGCCGACUGAAGUCAAACUUGUCCUGAAGAUCACUGUGGGCAGAACUGUGUUCGAUGGUUUCCUGUGGCCCAGGACAAGGUGACCCAGUGACUGGAGUGUGUCAGUGUCCACCUGGCUGAAUGGGAACCAGGUGUCAGGAAGGUAACAAUGAUGGCAGGGUCACCUUCUCUGUCCAAGCAUUAAUUUAGCUAUGCUGCAAAAGUAGAUUUGGUGCCGACGAAGAUAAUUAUAUGCGCAAUACUUACAAGAAUUUUUUCUUUUAGUGUGGCUUUCAAAUAACAUGGAAGUACAUGCUCCCGGGCCCGGCCUGGUGACUCACGCCUGAAAUCCCAGCACUUUGGGAGGCUGGGGAGGGCGGAUCACGA